UACGUAGGGGGCUAGCGUUGUCCGGAAUCAUUGGGCGUAAAGCGCGCGUAGGCGGCCCGGUAAGUCCGCUGUGAAAGUCAAAGGCUCAACCUUUGAAUGUCAGCGGAUACUGCCGGGCUAGAGUCCGGAAGAGGCGAGUGGAACUCCUGGUGUAGCGGUGGAAUGCGCAGAUAUCAGGAAGAACACCAACGGCGAAGGCAGCUCGCUGGGACGGUACUGACGCUGAGACGCGAAAGCGUGGGGGAGCGAAACAGG
rnacentral:rRNA from 1 species